ACACGUAGGUGGCAAGCGUUGUCCGGAAUUAUUGGGCGUAAAGCGCAUGUAGGCGGUGCCUUAAGUCUGUCGUGAAACUGCGGGGCCUAACCCCGUAUGGCGAUGGAAACUGUGGCACUUGAGUGCAGGAGAGGAAAGGGGAACUCCCAGUGUAGCGGUGAAAUGCGUAGAUAUUGGGAAGAACACCGGUGGCGAAGGCGCCUUUCUGGACUGUGUCUGACGCUGAGAUGCGAAAGCCAGGGUAGCGAACGGGAUUAGAUACCCCGGUAGUCCUGGCCGUAAACGAUGGGUACUAGGUGUGGGAGGUAUCGACCCCUUCCGUGCCGGAGUUAACGCAAUAAGUACCCCGCCUGGGGAGUACGGCCGCAAGGCUUAAACUCAAAGGAAUUGACGGGG
rnacentral:rRNA from 1 species